UCUGGAACGAUAGAUGCGAG
rnacentral:misc_RNA from 1 species